rnacentral:sRNA from 5 species
AUAUCUCUCUGUACGGGAAGGAUGAGAAGCUUCUACCAGGGUUCGAUUCGAGCGCAGCGAGAAAGCGUUGCCGCAGG